AAUAUAUGUUCUUUAGUAAUAAAAAGUCUUAUAAUCACUUUAAGUUAGAACACAGGCUCAAUUCACUAUCCAAAAUGCUCCCAUGUGAGAAGCAAAACUCUGAAAGUGAUUUAAAGUCAAAACUUCAUCACAGGCCUCUAGCAGGCCAGCAGCCUACAGAGGGAGAAAGAUGUUGGCAGCUGGCAGGUGCCUUCUCUAGCGUCUUGCCUUCUGCUGCUGCUGCUCAUCUUUGAGCAUGCUAACCAUGGUUUCUCAAAUCUCCAGGGAUUGGCCUGGAGAGGAAGCAGGUGUGGGGUUAUAUUUAUAUUGCUCACAGUGGUGGCAUGUGGGUGGAAUACAGGGAAAUCUUACAUAUUGUCUUGCCUGACAGUUGCUUUAAGUGGACUCCUUCUCAUGGUUUUGGAGACCACCCCAUCACUGAGAAUUUGUGUCUCCUAGAGUUCAGUCUAAAAGCCGAGAUCCUACAUUGUGUUCCAGGGAAGCUUAAGAAAAUUAGGUCUCUGCUUGAUUUGGAAAGCUUAGACUGAACCUAAAUGAAAAUCAGGUCAGUAAAAAGUCAGAGUUUAACAAAGAUAGAUGUUAUGUCCCAGAGACCAGACAUUUAAGCAUUACUUUCAAAGUGCACUCAGAGAGAUAUUUGUUCUUCAUUUAGUACUUAGAGACUAAGUCUUAUCCAUGCCAUCAAAAAAAUGGGAGUUGGAAAACAUGCCACACAUGUUAACAAUGCAUUGAUUUUUUUUUUUUUUUUUUGAGACAGAGUCUCGCACGUCACCAAGACUGGAGUGCAGUGACGCAAUCUUGGCUUACUGCAAGCUCUGCCUCCUGGGUUCAUGCCAUUCUCCUGCCUCAGCCUCCCGAGUAGCUGGGACUACAGGCGCCUGCCACCACACCCAGCUAAUUUUUUGUAUUUUUAGUGGAGAUGGGGUUUUGCUGUGUCAGCCAGGAUGGUCUCGAUCGCCUGACCUUGUGAUCCACCCACCUCGGCCUCCCAAAGUGCUCGGAUUACAGGCGUGAGCCACCGCGCCUGGCCAACAAUGCAUUUUAACUUAAACCAUGUAAAUGAAUUCAGAUGAAGAACCAGAAAAUUACUGGAGCUACUGCAUCACCACACUAGUAAUGUGUUGUCUCUAAUUUCCAUUAAUUCUCUAAAGUGGAGUGGCAUUUAAAGACACCUGGAAACCAAUCUGAUCCCUUAAAUGUUUAAUAAUUGUCCCACUCUUAAAUAUGUUUUGUCCACAUCUAACUGAACAGUGAUCAUUUUUAGUGGCUCACCUCUAGUGUACCAACAUAUAGCUGACUAGUUCCUCAAACUAAAUAUCUUUAGCAUGAAAAUGAAGUUUUAUUUUAUGCGAUUUUAUCUAAUUUCUCACCAGAGGGUAAAUGCAGAUGUAAGCUGGCACGAGAGGAGGGUGAUGCAGGCCAAGAUGGAUUGAGUCCUGGGAGUUGCCUGAGAUGGGACAUAGGUUCCCAGAAAUACUGUGAUAUCAAUACUGUUCUCAGUGGACCACAAUCUGGCAUGGACCUGGGUGGUAUGCGAGGCCACUCCUCCUGUGUACCUAUUUUGGCUGCUCCGAGUAGAUGUACAGUGUGGAGUGCAGCCCCUGGGUUGUGCUGGCCCAGAGAUUCAGCCAGCCAAGAUCCUUAUGCUUGCUCACAGCCCUCAGUGGUCUGGGCUACUCUUUAGUAGCUUGAGUAGCCCUUGAGAGUCAUUCUUGGAACUGUGCACCUGAAAUCAAUCUUACUCCAUGACAAAUCCUGGGAUAUGAACUAGAAGUUGGCAGUUUAAUAAUGACAGAUCCCACCCUUACAUAGAAUGCAGUGACCAUGUUUGUUUUUUUUUUUCUCGUGGAGUAGUAAUGGGGAAGAGGUGGUGUCCAUUUCCAUAAAGGAGGCAGGAUGUUGCAGGAAGUCCUCAUGAAAGGAUCUUAUGGAGGGCUCUGCCGGACUCUCAAUAUGGGACAACCCUUCUCUUUUGGCCUCCUGGGUCCCCAGCAAGUCUGAGUCUUUCACUAGACUAGGUUGGGAAGAAUGAGCUGGGCCAUUGUGAAGGGAAACUCCAGGAAGCUGGGUCUUCACUGAGGCUACAAAGCAAAUGCCAUCUAAGGGGCAGAUGGACCAAGGUCAGGGCAUAGAAGCAAUGUCAAGCUUUAGGUCCAAGAGUGAUGACCAGAGUCGUGUAAGAGAUGGGACAGCAGGCCAAUCAGGAUUUGAGGAGAUAGGGAUAAGUUGGGAAGUUGUGUAGGGACAGAAGGAGGAAGAAAGUUUCAAAUCUUGGGCUCCAAUUAGAUAAGGCUGGGCCCAAUUCUUUUGGGUGUGAAAAAUGUGGGAGAGGGAGUGGCAGCUGUUUAAAGGCACGGAGCUACACAGGUUUAACAGCAAUACACUUGACCCUUGAACAACAUGGGUUUGAACUGCAUGGGUCCACUUCUAUGUAGAUUUUCUUCUGCCUCCACCCCCGCCCCCCACCCCCCAGACAGCAAGAUCAACCUCUCUUCCUCAGCCUACUCACCAUAAAGAUGAGGAGGAUGAAGACCUUUAUGAUGAUCCACUUCUGCUUAAUGAAUAGUAAAUAUAAUUUCUCUUCCUUGAUUUUCUUAUUUUUUUCUUUUCUCUAGCUUACUUUAAGAACACAAUAUUCAUAAAAAAUAUGUGCU
rnacentral:lncRNA from 1 species